rnacentral:misc_RNA from 1 species
CAAUGGCCUCCUCUGCUCCAUACUUUCUAUUAUCUUCUCUCCUCUUCUUAUUCUUCCUUUUAUUCUCCCCUUCUUUUGCUCAACAAUCCUUCCGCCCCAAGGCCCUCGUCGUUCCAGUCUCAAAAGAUGCUUCCACUCGCCAAUAUGUUACCCAAAUAGAACAGAGGACCCCUCUAGUGCCCAUUAACCUUGUUGUUCACCUUGGUGGCAAAUUCCUCUGGGUUGAUUGCGACCAAGGUUAUGUCUCUUCCACUUACCGCCCG